rnacentral:lncRNA from 1 species
UGUCAGACUUUCAAGGUAAACAGGGAUUGAAUACCAAGGAACCGUAGAAAUUUGCACUCUGCGGGAAAUGAACAGGAUAUUUGCAACAGUAACCAGACAAUUUGUUUACCGACGACUCUACUGGGGAGUUUGAUUUUUUACCAAUGGAAAGAUACGACCAGACGUCAACGGACGACUAGGAAAAACUCAUCGUUUAUUGACACCAACGGAGAGGUGACCAGACAUCAACGGAUGACCUGGGAAGACUCGACCAGACGUCAA